CCCCGCGGACUGUCGGACACGUGACCGCCGCCGCCGCCUUCUUGGUUUAUCUGUGGCGGGAGAGAGCUGGGGACCUAGACCGGGGACCGGAAUUGGGGACGGCGGAGCUCCGAGGCUUCCCGCCGGUGCCGGCCUCCGCCCGCGUCCUGUGCCGACGGGCCGGCCAUCCGCCUGCUGGGCCUUCGGAGUGAGCUGGGCGGCCUCGGUGCCCUCGCCUGUGAGAUGGUCCCAGGGUUGUCCAGGGAACAGCGUUGCCGCAGGCCUAUGGGAGGCAGCGGGGACGUGCACGGCCGUGUGAAGCAGGGCGAUGGCCUGAAGGACCAACCGGGAGUCCCGAAAAGCUGACCGUGGGUGAGGUUGUUGAGCAGAGCAGAGCCCCCGCCCUCGGCUGACUUCCGCCAAGGGUUGUGUGACGGGCCCCUUGGCUUUCGUUGCAGACGGUUGAGCACGAUACGGCUGGCCCGUGGGUGACCGGUCACCGCGUGUUACUCAGCGCCCGGACACCAGCCAGGUCGGGAGCCGUGCCACCUUCCGUGAUGGACACACUGGCUACUCUGCGGAAGCGCGUCACCGAAGCCGGGAGUCGACCGACAGAGGUGAGAAAGUGGCAAGGACGGGAAGUGGGGACACUGGAGGCAAAUCCAGGUGCAGCAGCGACAGGGCCAGAAGAAAGAGCUGCGGCCAGAGGGGCCUGGUGAGGCCGACGUGAUGAGCAGGACGAUGUCCCCCGGAAGUGACGCUGGCCACGCCCCCACGCCGACAGAGCCCUCGACACGUUUCGCGUCGCCCCGAGUGCGAGUGCGAAGGCCGCGCUGGAAGCUCAUCGCGACGCGGAACAGACAGCGGCAACCGACAGAGGUCCAGAAAGGAUGCUCGCGGCACGUCCUAAGUCACAGCGGAAGAGGCGAACACUGUUCAUACUGCUCCUGGUAAGUAUCUCCUUUAAGUCGUGGUUAAAUACACAUAGUUUAUUUAUUUACUUUCUAUUUUUUUAAUGUUUUAUUUUUUUGAGAGGCAGAAUGAGAGUGCGAGCAGGGAGGGGCAGACAGAGAAAGAGACACAGAAUCCGAAGCAGGCUCCAGGCUCCCAGCCGUCAGCACAGAGACCGAUGCGGGGCUCGAAGCCCCAAACGCAAGGUCAUGACCUGAGCCGAAGUCAGAGCCACCCAGGCGCCCCAAAUACACAUAGUUUAAAAUCUACGACCUGACCACUUCCAAGUGCAUGGUUGUGUGACAUCAGGUGCUGUACAAGCAGGGACGGCUCCGCGAACUUGUGUGUGGACACCAUUGCAGAGAUGCUCAUCUCCUCGAGGCCGUUCUGAUUUGAGUAUCUGUGCUGCUCUCGAACAAAGAAAGAAGCUCGUUCAUUCUCGAUGCUUCUGAAAGUUAGAGUGUCCCCAGCAAAGAUUAGCUUUACCGUUUCUAUUUGCCUGCAUAGUUCUAACCAAUGGGAAAGUUUUUCAUGUUUGGGAGAUCACGGAAGUCACACUUUUCCCACUGAUUUUUGUUUCUCUCCCCAUGUCCACUUAAACAGUGUUAUUGAGGGGCGCCUAAGGGGCUUGGUCGGUUAAGUGCCCAACUUCGGCUCAGGUCAUGGUCUCACGGUUUGUGAGUUCGAACCCCACGUCAGGCUCUGUGCUGACAGCCUAGAGCCUGGAGCCUGCUUCGGAUAUGUCUGUCUGUCUCUCUGCCCCUUUCCUGCUCACGCUCUCUCUGUC